AUUCAGCUGACGAGUCCCAAGUAGGACGAAACACGCGUCCUGUAU
rnacentral:hammerhead_ribozyme from 1 species